UGUUGGUGAAACACGUGUAUCGUUUUUAAAAUAUCGCUUGUGGUUUGAAGGCAGGAACCUGUCGUGAGGCAAGCAUCUCUGUCCAAUCAGCCUGACUAAUCUCCUGAAACACCACUUGCACAGUCCGUGCCAGCCCUCCCAGCCCCGGAACCAGACUGGGCUGGGCCGCCUCCCCUGCCCUCGGUGACCCGACCCUGCCUCCCAUGCACAACGCCCUUUGCUCCCACUGACCAGCCUCCUCCCAUUUCUCCUGCAGACACAGCUUCUCCCGCCUUGGCUUGGCUCAGGCCGUGCCCUCUGCCUCCUGGUUAAUAGCUUUCCACUCUUUGGCCUUCCCAGCUCUCCCCUCUGACACUCAGGCCAGCUGGGACAAGCACGUGCUUUUGCCAGCCGGCACGGCAGAUGUCAGAGCGAUGCCAUCUCUGCUGCCUAGGUCUGAAGAAGAAGGCUUGAGGUACCCACACCAGGCCCAUCCCUAUUAUCCCAGCCAAGGACCUCUCUGAGUCUGUUUCCUCACCCUGAAAAAUCAGGAUCUUCAGGUCCACUUGCCAGGAUGUUCUGAGGGUGGGCGGACGUGAUGUCUGUGGGAGGGCUCAGGCAGACCCCCCCCCCCACACACACUUUCCAUCCCCCGCUUUCAGACACGUCCUGUCCAAUAGUAGCGGCAGCUGCAGUAGGAGCUCAUUAUUGGAGUGUUUACCUGUCAGCACUGCCCUAAAUCAUGCAUCCUCUCAUUUAAGCCCAACAGUGGGUAACAGGACCACCAUUUCACAGGUGAGGAAAUGGGGGCUCAUCCAGGGUAACUUGCAGGUGAAUCUACCUGUCACCCCACACAUUAGACCACAGGGAGCUCAAAGGCAAGGAGAAUCGUCCACUCGUACACAUAGGGGUGUGUCGAGUAGCCAAAGGUCCAUCAACAGAAGAAUGGAUAAACAAGAUGUGAGUUUCAUUUUGGGAAAAUGGAAAGUUCCAGAGAUGGAUCAUGGUGAUGGCUGCACAAAAACGUGAAUAUGUUUAAUGCCGCGCACGAACUAUACACUUAAAAAUGGUUAAAAUGUUAAAUUUUAUGUUAUAUAUUUUACCAUAAUGAAUUUUUUUUAAUAUAGUUAGAAGCAAAAAGUAGAAUAGGACCUAAGGGAGGAGGGAAGGAUGAAUUAUUUUUCAUGCUUACAGAAGUUUUGUUGGAGGUGAUAAAAGUUUUGGUUAUAGAUAGCAGUGAUGAUUAUACCACAUUGAGAAUGCAUUUAAUGCCACUGCAUCGGACACUUAUGAAUGGUUGCAGUGAUAUAUAUUAUUUUAUGAAUAUUUUACCACGCACACACUCAAGGAAGGGAGGUCCUGUUCUUUUUCUAUCUCUCUGGACCCAGAGGCUCAAGCAGGACCUGGCACACAGUUGGCACUCAAGUGCGUUUGUCCAGCAAACGCUCUGCAUAAUACAUUUGGAAAAGAAUAUUUUUUUUUUCUUUUUUAGGCCACACUCAUGGCAUAUGGAGGUUCCCAGGCUAGGGGUCCAAUCAGAGCUGUAACUGCCGGCCUACACCACAGCCGCAGCAACACGGGAUACAAGCUGUAUCUGUGACCUACCCCACAGCUCAUGGCAACGCCCCAUCCUUAACCCACUGAGCGAGGCCAGGGAUCGAAGCCGUGUCCUCGUGGAUACUAGUCGGGUUCGUUAACUGCCGAGCCAUGAUAGGAACUCCAAGAAUAUUUUUUUAAAAAAAGAGUGUACACAAUUUUUUAAAGAGUUUGGAUUUGAAUAAACUGCAUUUGGAAGGAAGCAGAAGCCUUCAGCCUGGGCAAGAGGAACAGGAUCAGGGCUCUGCCUGAAGUCAGGUCUGUGGCCACUUCCAGCUUCCCUGUGGUCGAAAGUUCCACGGAUGUGUGGAAUCCCCCAAGACAGAGACAGAAACUAACAACAUAAUUAGAAAGCUGCUAUUAAUUGCUAGGCAUUUUACACUCAUAUAAUAAGAGCUAGCAAUUAUUGAGUACUUAUUCUGUGCUAGAUGCAAUUCUAAAAGUUUUCACGCCUAACAAUCCCUCUGAGGUGCCUACAAUUAUAAUCCCCAUUUUGUGAUGGAGGAAACGGGAACACAGAGAGAUUAAAUAACUUGUUAAAGGUCACACAGCCAAAUCACCAUGAAACCCAGACUUGCCUCCAGGCGGUCUGGUUUGCUUAAAGACCAGGGUUUGUGCUUCUGCUUAAAGAAAGACUAGGGUUCAUGCUUCUGCAUGAUGCUGGCAUUUCUGCAUUUCUCCACGUCCCGGCCAGUGGGGAAGGCACGGAGAGGGCACGGAGAGGGAAAGUGAGGAGCAGGACUUUGGAGGCAGGAAUAUGGGCUCUACUUUGGGCAGCAACCAGCCUCGGGCAUCACCCCGACUGGGUCCAAGUCCAGCUUUUGUUGAUUGCCUGGCGCUGGACAAGCUACUUCACCUCUCUAGUCCUGUGCCCUCCUCUGUAAUUUGGCUAUAGCAACAGUAUCUGUCUCAUGGGGUUUUGUGGGGGUUACAUAAAUUAGUAAGCAUGCACCUCAGUGAGUCUGCUGCUGGGUGGGGAUGGGGGAGGUGGGAGUUGGAACGGUGCUCUGGAUUGACCGACGACUUCCUGGAAUGAUCUUGGGCAAUUUCCCUUCCUCUCUGAGCCCCACUGAUCUCAGUGAUGAAACAUAAUUACUAAAACCAACCCCACAGGUUUGUUGUGAGGAUUAAACACACUCUGCAUUUUGUAUGUGUAUCUAUUUAUAGCUCUAAUCCAUUCUCCAAAAAGUAUUUUAGGCAGCUAACAAUAAUACUCCUGUAUUUAACUGGAAAAUGAAGAACUGGAAC
rnacentral:lncRNA from 1 species